rnacentral:tRNA from 1 species
GGGCCGCUAGCUCAGUUGGUAGAGCAGUUGACUCUUAAUCAUCAGGUCGUUGGUUCGAUCCCAACGCGGCCCACCA